rnacentral:rRNA from 1 species
GGGGACCAUCCUCCAAGGCUAAAUACUCCUGACUGACCGAUAGUGAACCAGUACCGUGAGGGAAAGGCGAAAAGAACCCCGGCGAGGGGAGUGAAAAAGAACCUGAAACCGUGUACGUACAAGCAGUAGGAGCCUCUUUUAUGGGGUGACUGCGUACCUUUUGUAUAAUGGGUCAGCGACUUAUAUUCUGUAGCAAGGUUAACCGAAUAGGGGAGCCGAAGGGAAACCGAGUCUUAACUGGGCGUUAAGUUGCAG